ensembl:lncRNA novel transcript
AGGAGGCAAGGAUUCUGAUUCUGGUUCUGGAAUUUCAACUAACUAGCUGUUUAAGGGCAACCCUCAUCUAAUCAACUGAAAACUUGAAUAGAAGAAAAAGAUUGAGUGUGGCCCAUUUCCUAUAUGCUUGGAGUGAACUUUGGCUACAUAGCUGGCCUUAUUUCACUACUCUGGAUGGUGUACAUUUUUAAAGACAUCUAAUUGACCCAGUGCCAUUUCGUAAAAGUUCUCCUUUCCCCAUUCAACUGCAGUGGACUCUGUAAUACACAAGAUGAGUGACAAUCUUUGGGUCUGUUUAACAACUGUCUCUCAUGUUGCAUUUUAUAACUCCUAUCUUUGCAUCAAUGCUAUGCUGAUAUUAAUUACUCUCAUUAGUGUUUUAAAUAAGUCUUGAUAUCUGGUAGCAUUGGUUCUCCAACUUUAUGUUCUUCUUGAUUAUUACCUUACCUAUUCUACAUUAUCUGAGCUUAACUGCAUGAGGCAAUUUCCAUUUAAACAUUUCCUCUUAUAAAGCUA